rnacentral:rRNA from 1 species
AGCAGCCGCCGCGGUAAUACGAAGGGGGCUAGCGUUGUUCGGAUUUACUGGGCGUAAAGGGCGCGUAGGCGGACUGAUAAGUCAGGGGUGAAAUCCCAAGGCUCAACCUUGGAACUGCCUUUGAUACUGUUUGUCUUGAGUUCGAGAGAGGUAAGUGGAACUGCGAGUGUAGAGGUGAAAUUCGUAGAUAUUCGCAAGAACACCAGUGGCGAAGGCGGCUUACUGGCUCGAAACUGACGCUGAGGCGCGAAAGCGUGGGGAGCAAACAGGAUUAGAUACCCCAGUAGUCCCUGUCUCUUAUAC